rnacentral:rRNA from 1 species
GCUACGAAAGGGCACUCAAAGGGGACUCCCGGUGACAAACCGGAGGAAGGUGGGGAUGACGUCAAGUCCUCAUGGCCCUUAUAGGUGGGGCUACACACGUCAUACAAUGGCUGGUACAGAGGGUUGCCAACCCGCGAGGGGGAGCUAAUCCCAUAAAGCCAGUCGUAGUCCGGAUCGCAGUCUGCAACUCGACUGCGUGAAGUCGGAAUCGCUAGUAAUCGCGGAUCAGAAUGUCGCGGUGAAUACGUUCCCGGGUCUUGUACACACCGCCCGUCACACCAUGGGAGCGGGUUCUGCCAGAAGUA